GUGAUCUUAGCCCUCUUUUUAGAGUUGAAAUGGUUCAUCAAAGUUAAAUGACAUACUAGUUAACACACAAGCAGACCCAGGGCUUAGAAACAGAUCUCCUGAGUACAAGCCCAGUGCCCCAUUACCUCAUAUACCCUAUGUUCUAGAAAGGUAGAUGAUUCAAUAUAUUGAUAAUGUAUAAAUUAAUUUGCUUGGCAUUUAAUGUCUUAGGCUUAAGACAUUGUUAUGGAAAGGUAUAUUUGUCUUUCAGUUUAUGCCAGUUCAAGUACCAAAUGAUGAAGAAAAAAAUGAUCCUGUCCUUUUUGCCAAUAAAGUCCGGAAUUUAAUGGCAGAAGCUCUGGGAAUACCAGUAACAGAUCAUACCUAUGAAGAUUGCAGAUUGAUGAUUUCAGCAGGACAGCUAACAUUGCCUAUGGAAGCUGGGCUGGUGGAAUUUACUAAAAUUAGCCGGAAAUUGAAAUUAGAUUGGGAUGGUGUUCGUAAGCAUUUGGAUGAAUAUGCAUCUAUUGCGAGUUCCUCAAAAGGAGGAAGAAUUGGAAUUGAAGAAUUCGCCAAGUAUUUAAAGUUGCCUGUUUCAGAUGUCUUGAGACAACUUUUUGCACUCUUUGACAGGAACCAUGAUGGCAGCAUUGACUUCCGAGAGUAUGUGAUUGGCCUGGCUGUCUUGUGCAACCCUUCCAACACAGAGGAGAUCAUCCAGGUGGCAUUUAAG
rnacentral:sRNA from 1 species